UAGGUCGCGGUUAUUAUGGAAACCGAGGCCUAUUCCCCUCUAUUACCCCGAUUUUCUGUUGAACCGCGGUAGUAACGUGUAUUAGGUUAAAACAUUUUAGAGUUUGAAACCCAAAACUCCCUGAAGCUCUCCACUCCGCCGCGUUGAAAUCCCUCUUCCUCGCGAAUAUCAGGUAUGAAGCGCCGUUGACAAAAUCUCUGAAGCUCUCAUUUACUUUGAAAUUCCUCUUUUUCUGUUCACAGCCACAACUUCAACCUCUCUUCCGUUGCUUCUUGGAAACACAAAUCCACGUCCAGUAAGAGUCCAUUUUAUGUUUCCUGUUCUUCUUCCUCUCACACAUACGACGUCGUCAUAGUGGGGGUUGGCGUCAUUGGCUUAACCAUUGCUCGCCACUUUCUCCUUUCUUCCGACCCUUUUGUCGCCAUUGUCGAUAAGGUUGUCCCAUGUUCUGGUGCCACUGGCGCAGGUGAGUGAAGAGGUGGAGCAUGCUUUGCCAAAGUUAAGUCCCGCAAGAAUUGGUGGAAGGUAUAAGAAAUUCACUACAAAUUUUGGAAAUUAAUUUGAACAUGUUGUAGUUUUCAUCAUAUCCCUUGAAUGUGGAAAUAAUAAUUAUCAUUUCAUUGUUCACUUUUUAGUUUCGAGGCAUUCUUUUUAGCAUAUUUGGGUUUCUCAAGAUAAAUUGGGUGCUUUUUAUGUAACAAUUUUCUUGGCUUUUGGGUGAAAAAGAUAUGCUCUCUGGAACUUAUCUUGUGACAGUUGACUGCAUUCCAUAAUACUGGUGUUGGUAUGUCAUAUGAAAGAACAUGGUUGUGUAUUUCAAAAGGGUUUUUU